GAUGCCAUUAGCCCAAUUUUGGACAAAAAAGUAAAAUGCAAAUUCUCAUCAAUGUAUGCUAUUUCCUGACCUUCAAAGGUUUGUUUAUCUACUAAACUUUUAUUUGCAGGAUUCUCAAUAAAAUUCCAGCAAACCAAUCUGUUGAGAGAGUUGAGGUGCUGCAGUCUAGGACUUAUCCGUUAUUUGUUCCAUGGAAAGGUGGAGUGAUUUUGGGCGUCCUGGAUACUGGUAGGGAUGCUUGGAUUCAUAGAGAAGAUUGGAUUAAAAAUGGUGUUCACAUAGGGAGUGGCAGAAAAUAUAAGGAUUCCUACUUUCUUCAGGCGCAAGUAAUGUGCUACUACAACAUAUAGCAGGUUGUUUGACAGCGAACCAUCUUAGGAUAUGAUCUGUGGACAGCAAUUAACUUGGAUACAUGAUGCAUCAUCUGUUUCAUGCAUUGUGUGCUGUCUUGUUGGGUUCUAGGGUCAUCAACAACCAAGGGGCCUGGAUGAAAUCUUGUAAGUUAGAAGUAGAACGGUCUGGUUGUAAAGACGUACUCAUGUUUGAUUGUUGCAACUUAUAACAUUUAUGAGAUCUCUGCUAACUCCGGUAUGAGCUUCGGGUUCAUAAUGGAAACGAACAGUGUGGCAGUUUUGGCCUUGCUUCAUAUGCUGCAUCAGUGUGGAACAUGGGAACAAUUGGUCAGAAUGAGAAGACUUCGCUGAGCCCAUGGGCACGAGGAAGGAAUCCAGUCCUACCAUCCCUACUUCCCUAGACCCCGACCCUGGAGUAUCUCUGGCAGACUGACUUCUAGCAAACUGACCUGCUUGCCGUCGCCAUUUUAAGCUGCAACCGAGAAAACCAUGCUUCUGCAGUGUAAAAACAGGUUAGUAGGAUGUGAAAAAGUGUGAUACGGCUAGUUUGGUAAACCUUGUGGAGUAGGUAGGCAAAUAAAAGGUAUAUAGAGUGAUAUUUGGCUAGUUUGCUGGACGUUUUCUAAUAAGUUGGCAAAUGUUUGAGAGGGGUGUAGAAGUUCAAGCAAAGAAGUUUAUAAUAGAAAUUCAAGAAUGUAAUGGAUCUAGUA